rnacentral:lncRNA from 14 species
CAGUGAAAUAUGCUGCCUUUUUGAGAAUUUGAAGAGUUGAUUCUGAGGUGUCUUCAAAUCCUGAGUGGCUUCUUGCUGCCAAAUAGAGCAUGGCAAGCCCCCUCCCCACCCCAAAGACUCACCUUCCAUGCAGUAUUGAACAGCUAACCAUGGUGAGAUGUGGCUGAGAUUUGUGGACAAACAGACAGGAAGGACUGCUUCUCCUUCUCUUGGAAGGAUGCUUCACCUGCCCCACAGUCACUAUGUGCAUGUAAGACUUGAAAAUUCGCAAGUUACAGUUGAAUGUAAUUAUUAAAGAUGUUUUAACAGGUGAUCAGAGAAGAUGCAUUGCUUUUUAUUCUUGCUUUUCAGAGCACCAAGGGUCUAACUCUCUGCAGUCCAGAGUAGGUUUUUUCUACUUGGGAUUACAUCCCAGUAGCUUAAUAAUGUACACCCUGUUAUAGUUCAUUGCUAUGGCUUAAAAAUAUUUAAGUGCUUAUAGGAAAUCUUGAUUUUGUG